rnacentral:rRNA from 1 species
GACCUACGGGAGGCAGCAGUGAGGAAUAUUGGUCAAUGGGCGGGAGCCUGAACCAGCCAAGUCGCGUGAAGGAAGAAGGUACUUAGUAUCGUAAACCUCUUUUGUCAGGGGACAAAGACUGGGACGCGUCCCCGGAUGAGUGUACCUGAAGAAAAAGCAUCGGCUAACUCCGUGCCAGCAGCCGCGGUAAUACGGAGGAUGCGAGCGUUAUCCGGAUUUAUUGGGUUUAAAGGGUGCGCAGGCGGUCUGUUAAGUCAGCGGUCAAAGCCCGGGGCUCAACCCCGGCCCGCCGUUGAAACUGGCAG